rnacentral:rRNA from 1 species
CCUACGGGAGGCAGCAGUGGGGAAUAUUGGACAAUGGGCGAAAGCCUGAUCCAGCCAUGCCGCGUGUGUGAAGAAGGUCUUCGGAUUGUAAAGCACUUUAAGUUGGGAGGAAGGGCAGUAAGCUAAUACCUUGCUGUUUUGACGUUACCGACAGAAUAAGCACCGGCUAACUUCGUGCCAGCAGCCGCGGUAAUA